UGUCAUUCAUACAUGCUGUAGUCUCAAAAUAACAUAAAACUACAGGAGAAAAGGUCAUAGAAUGAAGUUUAGGAGAUAAAGUUUCUUGAUUUAAACUAUUGCUCCUCUCUGGCAAAUAGAUUGGCCAUCUGUUUGAAGCCUUUUUAUUCAGGCCAUUAUUUUAAGCAGAUUUUUUUUUUUCCUAAUUAUCACUAAAUAAUUUAGAAUCUUUGUCUUAUUAUUUACAGUGUAUUUAAUAUUAAAUUAUAAAAGUGAUUGCAAUUCCUCAAUCAAGCCCACUCAUACACAUUCUAAAUAGUUGCUAAGAUAUAUGUCACAAUUAUCCCAGCUCCUAAUAAUUAUUGAAAAUUGAACAUCGUAUCCCUAAAGCAUCAACUCUUCAGUGUGGAAGUAAGGAUUUAAAACCGACAGCUUUUUUCAGUGUUAGUAUUUUUAAAUUUUGUCUUCCAUGGGAAUAUAUAACUCUAUACAAGGUUAAGAGGAAGACAGGGCUCCCUGAUUUAUUUAGGCAUUCUAAAAUAGAAAACCUUAUCAUUCACUAUGCCAUCUAGAGAUCACCACAGAAUUCAGAAGACAUGUUUCCAGUUCCACAAAACACUCCUCGCCUUCAGUUUUUGCUCAUUAGACAAUAAUGAAGGUUUAGAGACAGAUGAACAAUUUGAUCGUAACAGGCAAUGAGUUGUUGGGAUGGCAGUGAGUUGUUCGACUUUGUAUAUUUUUUAAGUGGAAUUCAAAGUUGGGUACUUUUUCUUUUUUUUAAUGAAAGCCAUACACCGUAGUUGUUUUCUUUUUGUAGCUUAGCUAAGGUUUAUUUCCCAGGGAACCUGUGAGUAUUCCACAAGCUAUGGAAGGGAGAGAGGAGCUUCAGCAAAGCAGAGUAUUAGCAAAUUAACUACAAAACAUUUAUAACUAGCACUUUUUAUAAAGUAUAAAAGUUCUAAGGAAGCCAGUCUCAAUUUAUGAAUGUCAUGUUCUAGAAGUUAUUAACUGCUUAGAAAUCAGAAUUUAUUCUCUAUCAUGGGAUCCAUGGCACUGUUAUGAAAACAAGUUUACCCCACACUGUAUUCAAACUCUGCUCUAGUACCAACUAAUUACAGGUCCCAAGAAUAAAACAUGAGAGAAUGUACAUCUAUCUCUUCUCUACCUACAGUUUCGUCAGUGGGUUUCAGUCCCUUCGCAUCAUCUUUUCUCUAAACCGCUCCUAGGUCUACAGUGGUCUUCAGCCCAUCUCCAUUCCCAACAUGCACUGCGUACCACAUCCAUGUCAGAUUUCAGCUGGAAAGUUAGCUAAGCCACAGUAAUACUUUUCAGAGGUAUCGGCAGUUUUCAAAAAGGACAUUGCUUGAUGCAAAUAAUCUCCAAAGAAUAGUACUUUAGGUCACGGUGAAGUCAGUCAAAUCUUCACAGGGAAAAAGAGAUAAUUAAAAACCCUUAGUUGAGUGGUCUCUCCCCAGAGUGCCCCUUCAAUCCAUCACUCUUCCUGGCGUUUCUGCCUUUCCCCAUCUCUUUCAUCCCCUCCCAUGGUCUCUGAAAGACCAAGGUCAAGACAAGCCUUUGUAGUUUCAACAGCUAGUACCAUAUGUUUUCAGAUCUAAGCAGAAUAAGAUUUUGCACCUUGCUUUUAAUUGCCUGUAAUUACUGCCAAAAGUGUGUUACCCCAUGGUUGAGAUUUAUUCUUUUUCUAAUAUUUUCGUAAAGUGUUCAUCUUUUCCAACUUGAAGAAGCACUUGUAAAACUCAAGUGCAGAAGAAUUCCUGACUGAACAGCCCAGCCAGUUACACCACACUCUACAACAGAUUACUCCUUGCCAUGGGAGAUUUGAGGGAGGGCCAAUAAAUUGCUCACAGCAUCUCUCCUACUUUGUGCAUCUCCUGAUCAGAUGCUUAGGCUGCCUCUUUACACCCUCUUGUCAUCUCUCCCCUUAUGAUUAUUUUUCUGCCUUCUCCAUGAAUACAAAACUAGGACACCUGUUUACCACUUUGAGGCUAUUUGACCAACCAGCACAGAUGCUAACAUAAAUCAGCUCAGACUAAAUCCAACAUGACAAAAUUUUAAUUCCAUAGUACCUUUAAAUUGAAACUUCUUGGUACAUGAUCACUAGGCUUUGCUGUUGUUCUUAUUGUUCUAAGGAGAGGGCUUAUACAAAGUUAGCUGAGAAAGUCACGUAGCCUUAACUAUAAGUAGGUAAUACAAUUAUGUUAAUAGACACUUUUGACUUCUCCAAAUACAUCACAGUAUUGCUCAUGUAAGAAAGUUUUCUCAGAAAGAAAAAUGCAUUCAUGUCAUCAGUCCCAUCAAGCUAAGCAAACGAAGACCUUUGUUUGGAGCUGAUAAUAGUAGCAAGAGGUUACACACAGCAGGGGCUGGGGAGAUAUCACUGAGUGCUUCUGAGACUGUGGACCUUAACCUAGAUUACCAUAUUUAACUCCCACAAGAACACUGUGAAACAAGUAUUGUAGUCCUCCUUUUUUCAGAUGAGGAUGCAGACCCAGAGAGGUUCAGAAAACUUGCCCAAGAUAACUCAUAAAGGGUAAAGUUGGUUGCAAAAGAGAUGUUUCUGAAUUCAAAGGCCAAGGCCUCUCUGCAACACCAUGUCUAAGUGGGCAAACACUUCAGUGUUUCAGGAAAUUAAACAGUUAAAAUAAGCUGAAGAUUGUUCAUUGAUGUCCCUAUCUCCAGUGUUAUAGAGAUUUUUCAAAUAGAAUUUUAAAAAGAAUAAGAUAGUGCUUAGGCAUAGUAAGGUCAUAUCUAAUAUAAAGAAACCAAAUCUAAACUUUUAAAGCAGAUCCUCAGUGGAAAUUUUAAAAACUCAACCAAAUUAGGUGGAAAUGAUGGAAUAAUAACUUGGAUUCUCUACAGCAUUCCUGUUCAAUCUUCCCAGUUUCCAGGUUUAUCAUGCCAACAGUUGAUUUUUACAAGCUAGAAGACAAUGAAUGUAUACGUUCUAUGGAACAGUGAGAUCAGUGUGAGUUUCUCGUCUUUGUAUUUAGAAACAUUAACUCUAUGGACAACCUUUUGUAUCAUGUUGAUUUUUUGACUUGUACUGAAGGUGAUUUUAAAGUAUGUAGUGUUUUCAUUUCUUCUGUCCACACAGUUUUGAUGAGAUGUUUCCAUGCUGAUUCCAUCAUAACCUUGGCUCCUGGCUCUAGAAAUGUUUGAGUAGUUGCUCCCUUGCCAGUAGUUUUAUAACCCUCAUCAGUCACCAGAAUAUCCGCACAUCAAGAUGGUAUCAUACUACUUGAUGUGCCGUCAUCUUUCACUUAACUGUCUGGUGUAAUAUUUUAAUUUCCUAUGUAUCUGUAAAGAGUCUACCAAAUGGCUUCAUGGGAAUUUGCAAACUGAACCAACUCCCUUCUGAGCAGCGUAUGUGCCUGUUUUAAGGACUUUACGGUAAAUAUGUUAUGUUUGUGCACAUAUCUACCCAAUCGAGACCAUAUCUAUCAUCUCAUCUUCCAAAUGAUGAGAAAAAUGUCAAAGUGCAUCAGUAUGUUUUGGGAGUACAGUGAAAUCUUAAUCAUGUUACAUAUAAAUGGGGCCUUAGUUUAUCUCCUAACUCCUUAUUCACUUUGCAAAUUUUUUCUAUUAAAAAAAAUGAGAAAAAAAUUAAGUACCUUAAAAUAAUCUCCCUUUUAUAAACAUAUUAAUUACACAUAAUUUUUAUUGGUUCAGUAAGUUUCUUUAAAGAGUUCUCUUUAAGUAUCCUGACAUUAUUUAAGCUGUUAUAUAAGUGGAAAAUAAGGACUAUAUUUACUAGAAUUAGAUGAGAAAGCAUAUCAGUGUCAAUGAUGUCGAGGAUUGAAGUUUUUGCCUCGGUAGAUAGAAAUAAUUGAAGCUUUCCUAUUGCAGUUGCAUUUCCCACGAUAAUUUUUGGAAAUUAUAUGUGCAUUUAGUUCUUUUAAUAAUCACUAAUAUUGAAUUAAAUUUUAAAAGUUAAUCUCUAGAAAUAAUUUUUGUCUUACCAACUGGUGCCAAAAUGGGGAGGGAGGAAUCUAAAGGCCAGUCUUUUGAACUGACACGUGAAGGAUAUUUUCUCUUCACAUCGGAAGUGUAUGGCCCUGACCCCACCAGCUGCCAGUGGCCACCACGGCUGCCUCAUGAUUAAGUGCAGGCCACUCUGUCCCUCCCUCUGAUGUCUUUCAUCUGAUUUUUGUUGGAAGUAGUUUGCUCUAAUAAAAAUUGGUUUCCCACAAAAUAGGUAAAAUUGGACAAAGGUUAAUGCUUUUGGUAUUUGGGGUUUCACUUCAAUUGAAACCACGUGGUAGAAUUCCCAGGUAUGGCAUGAUCGGGGCAGGAGCAAGUGCCCAGAGGGAAAGGUUGGCUUUGUCUGGUUUUGUUUCUUGAUUUGUUUUUAGUGGGAGGAGAGAGCCAACAAUAAGUUUCUUGCCCUAAUCGUGCUGAGAGAUGAUUUUCCUGCUGUUCUAAGAGGAAUAGACUUAGAUAAAUUAUGUUAUAAUCGGUUCCCCUACUACCAUUUCCCACUCUUAAGUGUAAAGCCAAUGGGUGGUAAGGGUCCUUUUAUCCUUUCUUGUAUUAUGCCAAAGACUAGACUUGUUUUCUUUGAAAAUUAUAAAUUACUGAAGCUUGGUAUAGCCAUAAUGAUUUGAGUCAGUAUACCAUUUUAUCCAUAGAAUGCAAAACUCAUCUUUGCAAUCCCCUGCACCAGGAGCCUUGAAGCAUUUUGUUUACCCCAAAGGACUCGUCAAGAAGUACAGCUUUUGUUUUGCCUUAUUCAGUCAGUUGGUCACAUUUAUUUUUUAAAAGAUGAAAAAACUACUGUCCUUUAUAUGUUGAUAUAACUAUUUGUUUGAUAUAAUCUGUCUGUUGUUUAACAGGUUCCUGUAAGCAAGCUUGCAAGUGUAUUUUGUGUACAUUUUAUCUGCGGUGAAAAUGAAAAUUCUAAAGAGAAAAUAUUUUAAAAGAUAUUGUAUUUAUGUUGCUUGUGUUGUAGAAUAAAGAUUCAGAUGCAUUAAAAAAUCUGCUAUGUGAAACCAUUCUUUUCACUGAAUAAAUAUAUCGAAAUAAUCUAUGUAAAUAUCCUGUUUACAGAAUUCUGCUAAAUGAACUAGGUUCCUUUCUUUGGUAUUUCAUUACUCUGAAGAAACUCUCCCCUCCAACUGUAAUUUGGAGAUAGUCACUGUUGAUAAUUUGGCGAACACCUAGAAAAUAC
ensembl:lncRNA